AACCCGCCCACCAUGAAGUUGGAGUUGCUAGUAAUCGCGGAUCAGCAUGCCGCGGUGGAUACGUUCCCGGGCCUUGUACACACCGCCCGUCACACCAUGGGAGUUGGGAGCGCCCGAAGCCGGUGAGGUAACCGAGAGGAGCCAGCCGUCGAAGGUGAGACCAAUGACUGGGGUGAAGUCGUAACAAGGUAUC
rnacentral:rRNA from 1 species